UGAAAGAGAAGAUGAGAUCUU
rnacentral:sRNA from 1 species